rnacentral:rRNA from 1 species
AUUGAACGCUGGCGGCAUGCCUUACACAUGCAAGUCGAACGGUAACAGGGAGCUUGCUCCGCUGACGAGUGGCGAACGGGUGAGUAAUGUAUCGGAACGUACCAUUCAGUGGGGGAUAACGUAGCGAAAGUUACGCUAAUACCGCAUAUUCUGUGAGCAGGAAAGCAGGGGAUCGCAAGACCUUGCGCUGAUUGAGCGGCCGAUAUCAGAUUAGCUAGUUGGUGAGGUAAAAGCUCACCAAGGCGACGAUCUGUAGCGGGUCUGAGAGGAUGAUCCGCCACACUGGAACUGAGACACGGUCCAGACUCCUACGGGAGGCAGCAGUGGGGAAUUUUGGACAAUGGGGGCAACCCUGAUCCAGCCAUGCCGCGUGAGUGAAGAAGGCCUCGGUUGUAAGACUCUUUCUAGCCGGAAGGAAAUAGCAUGGGUUAAGUACCCUGUGCAGAUGACGGUACCGGAA